GACUCUUCGUCGGCCGUGUCAAACGACUCUUCCCCUUCGUUUAUCUUCUGCUGCACGCUUUCAUUCAACAGAUCCAUGCAUCUCUCUUAUUGAUUGUGCGCCUCUUCUUAUCCCCAUGAUUCAUGCUUCUCCUGCGAUUGAUUUGGGUUUCUUUAAUUGAUUUCUUGGGCAAAGAGACGCCUCUGCAAUUGAAUUAACAGGUUUCAUCAUGGUGAAUCACCCGCAAGCUUUGGUAGUCCCUCCCCUUUUUUUUUUCUCGAUCUCUAUGAAACUAUCAUAAUGUCUUGCUUUAUAGAUAUUCAGAUUUUUUUCCCUUCAUAAAUACCUUUUGUUCAAGAUCUGAACAAAAAAUCACCCACAACAUAAUUUGGUAAGUUUGUCUCUAUUUUUGUUUCGUCUCUAUGUUUUUUUGUCUGAAUUUUUUGGCCUGCUUUCUUGAGUGGGAUUUCUGUUCACACACAAUUUUUUUUGUAUUCUUCAAGAAUUCCUUUUUUUGCCGCAUGUCAAUUUGGUUCUCCUUUAUCUUCUGCUUAUUCUCCAAUUCCACUAAAAAAACCAUUUUCUUUUAUCCUCUUUUGAGUCUCACUAUAAAUGGUGAGGAAUUGUAUCUUUGCGGGUUUCAUCAUGGUUAGGAUCUUGGUUGCCGAGGUUCUAUGGCUUGGCUUUGGUUUCUUUUAUGAUGCCUGGUAGAUCUUUCUUUCAUACGAAUAUUGUGCUUGGAUCAAUCACAACUUUGAGGAAGUGAAUGCCAACUCCCAGUAAUGCGACAAGAAAAGGCAUAUAUGCAGAUGUGUUUUCAUGUGAGGAAAUAUUAAUUAUGUUCUUUAUGAACUGCCAAUAGGGUCUUUGUAAUGUUUUUGUUGGUUAUUAUUUCAUGUUAAUCUUAAUAAAUAACCAUCAGAAAUUUAAAAGAAACAUAUGUAGUCACUUGUGGCCUUUUUACUUUUCUGUUCCACUUAUCUUUUCCUUGGUCUGGUCUGCUUUCAAUUGUUUUUAAUGUGGUCAUCUUGACCAUGUACCUUUCAAAUGGUUUAAUUGCUUAGAUCAAAGAGCUUUGGACAUGUACAUGCGUGUGGAACAACCAUCUCUUGAGCAGGGGAACAUUACUGUCUGAGAUCACCAAAGUGAAAUGAAUGAUGUUGUUUGAUUUGGGAAAAUGUUUUCUGUCAUUCAUUCAUAGUGGCUAAUGUUCCCAAUAAAUGUAUUGCUUCAAUGUUCUAAUUGUAACAAUUAUUAGUGGGAAUUAGUCCUAACCUUUCUUGAGAAUUUAGUUUCAAUGAACAAUUAUUUCCUUUGUUUAACAUGGUAUACGGGUUUAUAUUGGCCCAUUUACUUGGUUUUCCAGUAUCACUUGCUUGAUUACAUCUUAGUUUAAUGGAUAACACAAUUAAUAUGAGUAAUGGUCGGUAUAUGCUGAUAUAAAUGUCGAAUAAUUUUGGUGGUUUUGUGCAGUCUUACUGAAUAAAAGUUGUAUAUGGUGGAAUCCCAAGUCUAUAUAGAAGCAGCAAUGGCUCUUUUUCUCAAGCCGAAGGCUGUUACAUGCAGUUUAAAUCUAUAAAAAUUUCAUUUACUAUCUUGGAUGCAGUUCACUACUUCUCAACCAUAUUUCAUUUGCUUUUUAAAAACUCUGGGUUGUCAAAAGAUGACUUUGCUUUGUAUAUGUAUGCCUUUAGUAUUUGGCAUACUAUAAUUGUUCGUGUCUCCUCAAUAUGUCUGUAAAGUUUACUGGUGUUCCACUCAUUCUUUUAGUUGCACUGGCAGACAAAAUUGCAAUUGUGCUAAUAGGAGUUGCUAAUGAUUUGCUCUUCAUUUGUUUCUUCCAUGUAUGGAAUUGCUGUGUUGGAAGAUGUGUUAAAUAAUGUGAAUGUAGAGUAGACAAUGUUUACAUAUUGGAUAUCUUUGCAGUGGUGAUCAGGAACUUAGUUACCAAGAACUUCCUACGAAAUGAGUCUGGCAAUGCUUUAUUUUACCAUUAUAUUUAUUUCUCCGUUAUUUGAUCUAUUGGAAUUCUUAUGUUCAUAUAGCAUUUGUGACAACAUAGAGAUCAUGUUUGGUUUCGUUAAGAAGACUAAGUGUGUGAUGAUAUGAAUGUUAGACACAACUUACAAUCAAAUAUGGCAAAUUCACAGUCUACUAUCCAAACAACUUUGUACUUCUAUUAGCCCGAGGUGCAGAGUACGCAUUUUGAUCGAGUUGAAUAAAUUUAUGAUUAUAUGCCGCGCGAAGCGUGGACACGUAACUAGUACAUAUAUAAUUACGGAGUCCUGAGGCGGAAAUAGAGACUCCUCAGUCAUCCACGUCAGCUUCCAAACUCUAUGUAAUAAAGACACCUGGAAAUUUGUUACAAAAAUCAAAUUUAAAAAAAAUACAAGUUUGACUUACGCUGAGAAAGUCUAAUAUUCUCAUUGACGCUUCUUCUUCCUCUGGGCGAUUCGUGAAUGUGAAUUAAUGCUUCUUCCUCUUCUCAAGUAAUCUGAAUGUGAAUUAAGUAUUCUUCGUCUUUCUAAGAAAUCGGUUGGGUCUUCAAACUCUAUUCGAUUCCGUGCAUGUAUCUAAAGCGCUUUGAUCGGUGUUCUGUACCUGAGCAUCGAAGGAGAAGGAGUGGAAAUAUCUGGACUAAUAUUGGCUUGCUUUUCCGACUUGACCUUUAAGUAUUCAGGUAGAGAAUUAAAGGCUCAAUGGAUGGCUGCUUCUCAGUCUGUUGGAUCUCUGAUUGCAAUUGUUCGUAUGGUGGUAUGCAGAUCAUCCUGUAUGUUUUCAGUUUAUUUGUCGAAUAUUUGCAUCUCUUAUUAAGUUGAUUUGCUAUCAUUGGGGUACUUGACUGAAAAUUUUGCAAUUUCCAUUUAGAGAGUUUGCACUAAAACAAUAUAUCACAUGUAGCAAAUCUUCAUUUAUAUAUAGUUUCAUAUGUAUUACAAAGCAUAUUUACAACCCGGUAGUGCUAAUUUGUGAAUUCUUUUAGUGCUCCGUUCAUCGCUUUUUUAUCGAUGUUAUGAAUUUAUUACCAUUGAUUUUCUCACUGUCUCAGACUUUUCAAAUUUCUGUUUUGAAUGUUUAAAUGUUUAUCUAUAAAGUAUGGAAUGAAAUCCGGAUACAAUAGGCAUUGUGCUCUAUAUGCAGGUAGGGUAUCACUUUUAAAAUUGUAAGCUAAUGAACAUGAAGUCAAGUGGAUGACUUGCAUCAGUAAAAGACUCCUCUAUUUGGCUAUUUGUUCAACAUGUUAAUGCUUCCUCAUUGGGAAAGAAACUAUACCCCAAAUCAUCAUGUUUCAUCGAAUUAACUAAUAAUACAAGUCAAGAGGAUAACAUGAUUUAUUAAGACUGAAGGUAAUUAUUAACCUCUGAUUGCCUGAAUACCCAUUUUUUAUUGGAUUGAACCUGGGUUGAAAUCUCCCCAUUUGACUGCCACACCUAUUUUUAAACCUUUAUACAAAAGAUCACAAGUUAUUGAUACUAACCAACAUGGUUUAUAUUAAGCUUUCAAGUUCAUGAAUUUUCUAUGCCUAGCAGUCUCUGACUAUUUUUUAAAUUUCUUUAUGGAACACUCUUAAUAUCUGUGUUUUUCAACUUGAUGUCCUCUACAGGUGAUAUGGCUAGAAGAGAGCGCAAGCAUUAAGUUUCAGAGGUUACUAUUCCCUGACAAGGCCGUCAGGGAAAUAUACAAUUUAACUUCACUGUAGAUUUGGUGAGUGUCCAAUUUAAAUGCGUGGCACAUGUAUUGGUCCUUAUCUUAUGGCAUCAUUGAGUUAAUAUGCGACAUCAUAGUUAUCACCCCUUUGUAUUUGGAUUUGUUAUCUUAAAUUGUGCAUUUGAGUAUCAAAUUUGGUCUGCCAAUAUAAGGCACUUUUUUAGGCCUUUGUCUGUUGAUUAUUAAACUAGCUGACCUGAAGUUGCAGAUGAGUCUAGGAUCCUUAAAUGCUGAUGAGACAUUCUAUUUAUCAUUCAAGUUACAUUCUAAUUUACAAAUUGCUACGCUUGCUUGAAUUUUGAUACUUACAAAAAAAGUUGUUUUAUUUUGCUGUUCACGCUUCCAAUAGGUUGCAGACAUCUUUGUUGUGUGCAAUAUGUGAUGAAUUAUGCACAGCUAUAAGACAUGUACACCCAAUUUAAUUCGGGUAACUGAUAUGUUGUUAAGAACAG